rnacentral:rRNA from 1 species
UGCAAGCGUUGUCCGGAAUUAUUGGGCGUAAAGAGCUCGUAGGCGGCUUGUCGCGUCUGCUGUGAAAACCCGAGGCUCAACCUCGGGCCUGCAGUGGGUACGGGCAAGCUAGAGUGCGGUAGGGGAGAUUGGAAUUCCUGGUGUAGCGGUGGAAUGCGCAGAUAUCAGGAGGAACACCGAUGGCGAAGGCAGAUCUCUGGGCCGUAACUGACGCUGAGGAGCGAAAGCAUGGGGAGCGAACAGGAUUAGAUACCCUGGUAGUCCAUGCCGUAAACGUUGGGAACUAGAUGUAGGGCCUGUUCCACGGGUUCUGUGUCGUAGCUAACGCAUUAAGUUCCCCGCCUGGGGAGUACGGCCGCAAGGCUAAAACUCAAAGGAAUUGACGGGGGCCCGCACAAGCGGCGGAGCAUGCGGAUUAAUUCGAUGCAACGCGAAGAACCUUACCAAGGCUUGACAUAUAGAAGAACGGGUCAGAAAUGAUUCACUCUUUGGACACUUCUAUACAGGUGGUGCAUGGUUGUCGUCAGCUCGUGUCGUGAGAUGUUCGGUUAAGUCCGGCAACGAGCGCAACCCUCGUCCUAUGUUGCCAGCACGUAAUGGUGGGAACUCAUGGGAUACUGCCGUGGUCAACACGGAGGAAGGUGGGGAUGACGUCAAAUCAUCAUGCCCCUUAUGUCUUGGGCUUCACGCAUGCUACAAUGGCCGGUACAAUGGGCUGCGAUACCGCGAGGUGGAGCGAAUCCCAAAAAGCCGGUCUCAGUUCGGAUUGGGGUCUGCAACUCGACCCCAUGAAGUCGGAGUCGCUAGUAAUCGCAGAUCAGCAACGCUGCGGUGAAUACGUUCCCGGGCCUUGUACACACCGCCCGUCAAGUCAUGAAAGUCGGUAACACCCGAAGCCGGUGGCCUAACCCUUGUGGAGG